UACGUAGGGUGCGAGCGUUAAUCGGAAUUACUGGGCGUAAAGCGUGCGCAGGCGGUUCGUUAUGUCUGAUGUGAAAGCCCCGGGCUCAACCUGGGAAUGGCAUUGGAAACUGGCGAGCUUGAGUGUGGCAGAGGGGGGUGGAAUUCCGCGUGUAGCAGUGAAAUGCGUAGAGAUGCGGAGGAACACCGAUGGCGAAGGCAGCCCCCCUGGGCUAACACUGACGCUCAGGCACGAAAGCGUGGGGAGCAAACAGG
rnacentral:rRNA from 1 species